AACACUCCUCUGCAGCUCACAUGUGUUCCUGAGGAGUUCUGUCUGUGUGAAUAAGACAGAAGAAACGAGCCGAUAAACCCGAUCCAAAGGUUUCUUCAGUCCGUCCCUGCUGACUCUGAUGAACUCAUUUCUACAUAUCCAGAGUGUGAUCUCACCUGGACUCGUGACAGCGCUGGAAACAACAUGAAGGUGUUGGUGCAGAUCCACUCUGAGCUUCAGCCACAGCCUCUGAAUCCACCGACAGACCUGGAUCAGCUGCAGAACACAAAAACACAGAGAGGGAACGUGAGUACAAAUAAAACCACAGAAUAAAAACAUUCUGGACUGAAGGAACCACACAGCGUCUGUUCAGGUUCCUGAUGUACUUGCUGAGCCCUGCAGACUCAGGACUCUGCCUCCAUCAGAGAGACAGAGCGUCAUGUUGAAUAACAGCAGGCAGCUCAGACCGUCCCUCAUGAAAACUCUGGAGUAAUGUGGUUUAGAGCAGAGAGGAGUCUAAACAAUACUCCUUUAUUCAUGCAGAGAAAACUUUGAGUUUGCACAAAAGUUUUUCAUCAGAUCUGUGUUCAUGUUGCCCACAGAUAUUCAUAAAAUGUGCAGCAUGUUCCUUUCCUGCAGUGGAUUAAAUAAAUGCAGCUGUUGUGAAUUUGUGCAGCUACGUUUAGAGGAGUAAAAUCGGAACAUUAAGUAAGAUGCACCUUUUAGUUUUUGCAGAAAA